rnacentral:rRNA from 1 species
AAUCAACGCUGGCGGCGUGCCUAACACAUGCAAGUCGAGCGAGAAAAGGGGGGCAACUCCCUGAGUACAGCGGCGCACGGGUGAGUAACACGUGGGUAAUCUGCCCUGGAGUGGGGAAUAACACCGGGAAACCGGUGCUAAUACCGCAUACGAUAACGAGGUCUGCGGACUUUGUUAUGAAAGGAGCAAUUCGCGCCAGGAGGAGCCCGCGGCUGAUUAGCUAGUUGGUGGGGUAAUGGCUCACCAAGGCUACGAUCAGUAUCCGGUCUGAGAGGACGGUCGGACACACUGGAACUGAGACACGGUCCAGACUCCUACGGGAGGCAGCAGUGGGGAAUUUUUGGCAAUGGGGGAAACCCUGACCAAGCAACGCCGCGUGGGUGAUGAAGUCUCUUGGGACGUAAAACCCUUUCGACGGGGAAGAAACCGCAAGGUUGACGGUACCCGUAGAAGAAGCCCCGGCUAACUCCGUGCCAGCCGCCGCGGUAAGAC